AACGAACGCGGGCGGCGUGCUUAACACAUGCAAGUCGAACGCGAGAGUUUUCUUCGGAAGACGAGUAGAGUGGCGCACGGGUGAGUAACGCGUAAGUUAUCUACCUCGGCAUCUGGAAUAACUCACCGAAAGGUGUGCUAAUACCGGAUACGUUGAGUAAUCAAGAAAGGUGGCCUCUGAAUAUGCUACUGUGCUGAGAUGAGCUUGCGUACCAUUAGCUAGUUGGUAGGGUAAUGGCCUACCAAGGCGACGAUGGUUAGCGGGUCUGAGAGGAUGAUCCGCCACACUGGAACUGGAACACGGACCAGACUCCUACGGGAGGCAGCAGUGAGGAAUAUUGCGCAAUGGGGGCAACCCUGACGCAGCGACGCCGCGUGGAUGAUGAAGGCCUUCGGGUCGUAAAAUCCUGUCAAGUGGAAAGAAGUGCAUGGUGGAUAAUACCCAUCAUGUUUGACGGUACCACUGAAGGAAGCACCGGCUAACUCCGUGCCAGCAGCCGCGGUAAUACGGAGGGUGCAAGCGUUGUUCGGAAUUACUGGGCGUAAAGCGCGCGUAGGCGGUUUUAUAAGUCAGAUGUGAAAGCCCAGGGCUUAACCCUGGACGUGCAUUUGAAACUGUGAGACUUGAGUAUUGGAGGGGGUGGUGGAAUUCCCGGUGUAGAGGUGAAAUUCGUAGAUAUCGGGAGGAAUACCAGUGGCGAAGGCGACCACCUGGCCAAAUACUGACGCUGAGGUGCGAAAGCGUGGGGAGCAAACAGGAUUAGAUACCCUGGUAGUCCACGCCGUAAACGAUGUCAACUAGGUGUUGGGACGGUUAAUCGUCUCAUUGCCGCAGCUAACGCCAUUAAGUUGACCGCCUGGGGAGUACGGUCGCAAGAUUA
rnacentral:rRNA from 1 species